UACGAAGGGGGCUAGCGUUGCUCGGAAUCACUGGGCGUAAAGCGCACGUAGGCGGCUUUCUAAGUCAGGGGUGAAAUCCUGGAGCUCAACUCCAGAACUGCCUUUGAUACUGGAGAGCUUGAGUUCGGGAGAGGUGAGUGGAACUGCGAGUGUAGAGGUGAAAUUCGUAGAUAUCGGGAGGAAUACCGGUGGCGAAGGCGACUUUCUGGACGAAUACUGACGCUGAGGCGCGAAAGCGUGGGGAGCAAACAGGAUUAGAAACCCCGGUAGU
rnacentral:rRNA from 1 species